CGGCAUGCCUAAGACAUGCAAGUCGAACGAAGUGGCCCUUGAGAACAUGAAAUCCGGAGUGCUGCACAAAGGAUGGAUUGUAGGAUUAGGAUUCUCCACUUAGUGGCAGACGGGUGAGUAACACGUAAGUAAUCUACCCUAGAGACUGGAAUAAUGUUUGGAAACGGACACUAAUACCGGAUAAUUCAUAUUUAGAUAACUAAGUAUGCUAAAAGGAGCGUUUGCUCCACUUUAGGAUGAGCUUGCGGCGUAUUAACUAGUUGGUGGGGUAAUGGCCUACCAAGGUGACGAUGCGUAGCCGAACUGAGAGGUUGAUCGGCCACAUUGGGACUGAGACACGGCCCAAACUCCUACGGGAGGCAGCAGUUAGGAAUAUUCGUCAAUGGGGGAAACCCUGAACGAGCAAUGCCGCGUGAAGUGAUGACGGUCUUAUAGAUUGUAAAACUCUGUUGUAAAGGAAGAAUCCUUAUUAUAGGAAAUGAUAAUAAGUUGACGGUACUUUACCAGAAAGCCCCGGCUAACUACGUGCCAGCAGCGGC
rnacentral:rRNA from 1 species